UGGAUGUGGAUAGACGAAGAGGUUGCUCUGCU
rnacentral:sRNA from 1 species